CCUACGGGAGGCAGCAGUAGGGAAUCUUCCGCAAUGGACGAAAGUCUGACGGAGCAACGCCGCGUGAACGAUGAAGGCCUUCGGGUCGUAAAGUUCUGUUGUUAGGGAAGAACAAGUGCUAGUUAAAUAAGCUGGCACCUUGACGGUACCUAACCAGAAAGCCACGGCUAACUACGUGCCAGCAGCCGCGGUAAUACGUAGGUGGCAAGCGUUGUCCGGAAUUAUUGGGCGUAAAGCGCGCGCAGGCGGUUUCUUAAGUCUGAUGUGAAAGCCCCCGGCUCAACCGGGGAGGGUCAUUGGAAACUGGGAAACUUGAGUGCAGAAGAGGAAAGUGGAAUUCCAAGUGUAGCGGUGAAAUGCGUAGAGAUUUGGAGGAACACCAGUGGCGAAGGCGACUUUCUGGUCUGUAACUGACGCUGAGGCGCGAAAGCGUGGGGAGCAAACAGGAUUAGAUACCCUGGUAGUCCACGCUGUAAACGAUGAGUGCUAAGUGUUAGAGGGUUUCCGCCCUUUAGUGCUGAAGUUAACGCAUUAAGCACUCCGCCUGGGGAGUACGGUCGCAAGCUGAAACUCAAAGAGAUGACGNGNGAGACGCGACGACGACGACGACGGAGGGAGGAG
rnacentral:rRNA from 1 species